rnacentral:lncRNA from 13 species
AUUUUUCUUGUUAUGUCAGUCAGUCACUCAAUGAGCCAUGUCAGCUAACAUAUUCUUUGGACAGUAGUUUUAUAUUGAAACAAUGAUGCAACAUGAUGACUGGUGUGGAACAAAUGUGUGUAGAGGAGACUAAAGAGGAUGAUGUCAUAAGUAGAGGGAAAACAGGUCUUACCUAUGUGGACGAUCUUAUGGCCCUCCUCAGCCUCUCUCUGAUACGUUCUCUCUAUCUUUCUGAGGUUCCUAUUCUCCCACUUCUUAUUUACCCAGCCCACAGCUCUCCUUCAGAUACUUUUAUCAUGUGGGAGGAUGUCCUCCUUGUCAUCGUCCUUCUCCUCCUCCUCUUCAGUGUUCUCUAACUCACCCCUCUUCUCAAGGAUCUCCCUUCUUUCCUCUUCGGCCAUCUCCUCUCUUUUCGUUGCCUCUAUUAUCUUCUCUCUCUCUGACUGAAGCAAAAUGAAAUUCCCAAUGCAAAUAUGAGACAUUUUACGGAAUCAAUUAUGUCCACAAUGUGUACAAAUACAAACACACAACCUUCUUGCCCAUUCAGUUAGGGGUUUGAGAAAUUCCUGUUACAAUUUGUGUGAUGUUACAACAAUGUUGCCUCUGAUGUUUAUGCUUGUAGAAAUUACUCCUACAAAUGAUGCUUCACUAAUGCAACUAUUUACAACCUGCACAGAUACAGUUAUCAACAACAACAACAACAACAGUAAUGACGUUAAUAAGGAAGUGGAUAUUCAACCGGCAGAAGAAAGGCAUAGGGGUUGAGAUAAAUGAAGGUUAGGUUCAGGACCUAGAGUUGGGUUAAGGUAAAGGUUAGGUAUAGUUUCAGUGAGGUUAAGGUAAGGGUUAAGGAAAGGAAUAAAAGUUAACAUUGGGUUAGCGUACCGCUGUCUGCCACUAUUCAUUUUCAGCUGGGUAAAUAUACACUGCCUUUUAAUAAUAACAAUGACAUGUCUUACGUGGGCCAGUUGUAGGUCCACCAUCAGUAGAUCCAGCAGUUGUUUGAGUCUGUUGAUCCCCUGCAUUUUUCUCUGGUUCUCCUCCCAUUCUAUGGCUCUCUCUGACUCCCUCUGUGGCACUCUGACUCCCUCUGGCUCUCUGACUCAGCCUUCCACUCUUUCAUUAUACCCCUUUCGAGCAUGAAGGUAAAACACAUAUCCUGUCUCACAUCCCCAAUACAUUGCUAGGUGCUUUCAGUGUUGACAGUACCAAAAUACAACAACUCAUGUACAAAAACACUGCAACACAAACAAGUUACAACGUGAAAUCGCCUCUAUCCCAUUCAGACCGGACAAAACUACAUCUCCCAUAAUGCAAAGCCAGCACCAGUGGGCAGCUAACCGUCUGCGUCACAGAAAGGCAUGCUAGCUAGCAACAGCACUUUUAGCACUCUGUAAACUAUAUUAAUAACAAUAAAACUCUGAAAGUUACAUGUUUCAAUAGUCUCACACUCCCUUAUAACAAUAUCUACAGCAUUAACAUCGGGAUGUUUUAUUUAUUUCACGUUAUGGACUUCUACAAAGGAGUAAUCUGCAACACAUACCUUUCUCUCAGUGUUUUCUCAGACUGAGGAGAACGGGAGCUACGGGUUGUACCAGGGUGUUAGUAGGUGACGCAAGCACUCAGAUGAAAUAAAAUACAUUUAAUGAAACAAAAACCCCAAGAUGUUAACAUCAUUCAGCUACUGUAGUUCCCUACCUAACGUCAACAGGCAGCACCAGUAGCGCAACAAUUACAAAUAGACAACAAAAGUAAAUUUCCUGGCGAUCAUAGCGAUCUGACUCCCCCCCUUCUGUCUGAACUUGGAAUAUUCCUGUUGGCGGGCUUGGCUGUUCUGCCUUGUGUACUAUUCUAAUCAUUAGAAGUUUGAUGGAAUAACCUUUUCAACUCUACUACAUUUAUAUGUAGAUUAUAUUUUGGUUUUAUAUUUCAUAUUUGAAUGAUGAUUAGGCCUAUGACUUUUGAUUCCACUCUGGCUACCUUGCACCAUAUUGUCCUCUCUUGCUAUAUCUUAAACUGUAUGCCCUUGUGCAGAUCUUCUCUCUAAACAAUAGUCAUGAUAGUUUGAAUGAGUUGAGUAAACUACACUGUUGUUAGUGUAACAGAUGUUAAUCGUUCUCUCCUUGCGUUGUGUUUUGUCCUAAUAAAUCACCCCAGCCAGUGGUCCCAGUUGAGCAUUAUUAUCUGUUGUUCAAUAGGAAACAGCAGGUUAGUUGUGAAGGGCCUAAUGAUGUUGAUAGCUGUCAAUGGUCAAAUCUGUAGCAUGAAAACAACUGUGUUAGCAGUGGGCUUAUGUGACCAUUACAUCGGUGCAUGCUAGCUAACCCACUAAUAUACAGCAAUCAUUUACCAAAGCACAUCCCAGAAAGGUAUUCUAAUGAAUUCUGUAUGAAAAACCCUCUGUGUCUGCAUAGUCUCCAUGAGUCUUACUGGGUGUUUCCUAACCCGAUCAGCCCCUGACCUGACAGACCUAACAGAGUUAUCAUUACGUUUAACCUGUUCACCUACAACCCCCACUGGUGGGUCACUGUCCACAGUCGGUGGAUAGUCAAGGUCAAGGGUUCUGUGACUGUUGCUGGAGCUUGUGCUACCAGAGGCAUCUUCAGAAUGCCUUUCUUCUUCAGAGGGUUCGGACAUUUCUUCUCCAAAGGUUAGCUCUGACAUGUUUGUGCCACCAGUGGCACCCUCAGAAUGUGGUGAGUUCUGAGGGAUGUUCUGAGGGAUGCUCCAACAGCUCAUUGGGUAUAAACGGCGGUACAUUCGAAAUCGUUACCCUUGUUGACGGAGAGAAAAGCGCCGUAACUUGAAUAAACAUUCCUUUAAGAAGUACGCCAUGCUCAACCAUACGAUCUACAAGACUCUCUUCUUUAAGAAGUACGCCAUGCUCAACCAUUCAAUCUACAAGACUCUCUUCUUUAAGAAGUACGCCAUGCUCAACCAUACGAUCUACAAGACUCUCUUCUUUAAGAAGUACACCACGCUCAACCAUACGAUCUACAAGACUCUCUUCUUUAAGAAGUACACCAUGCUCAACCAUACGAUCUACAAGACUCUCUUCUUUAAGCAAAACCACCACCCCUUUAUUCAUCCGUGACGCAUAAGCAACAUUCUCAUAUCCCACCUUCUCUCUUACGGCGACCAGAAACUCCUCCACAGUGACAGUAGCUUCAGUAACACACCUAAAGCCGUGCUGAAGUGACAGGGACGGCAUCCCCAUGUGGGUCGCCACCCCCGCCAAAGCCAAUUUCAACAUGAAAAACAAUGUACUUAAUUCUACCACAACAACUAAA